AUAUUUGUGUUUACUUAUGAACAGCUGUUCACUUUGACUUUAGCCUACAAUAGGUUUAGAACAUGAUGUUAUCUGUUCUGACGCGCAGUGUGAAAGCAUUUGCAAAUUCGUCAGUAAAAAUCCAUUGUUUUGGUCUUGGUUGAGCUU